rnacentral:rRNA from 1 species
UACGGGGGGGGGCAAGCGUUGUUCGGAAUUAUUGGGCGUAAAGCGCGUGUAGGCGGCUUUGCAAGUCGGGUGUGAAAGCCCUCAGCUCAACUGAGGAAGUGCGCCCGAAACUGCAGAGCUUGAGUGCCGGAGAGGGUGGCGGAAUUCCCCAAGUAGAGGUGAAAUUCGUAGAUAUGGGGGAGGAACACCGGUGGCGAAGGCGGCCACCUGGACGGUAACUGGACGCUGAGACGCGAAAGCGUGGGGAGCAAACAGG